rnacentral:rRNA from 1 species
UGACGGUAUCUAACCAGAAAGCCACGGCUAACUACGUGCCAGCAGCCGCGGCAAUACGUAGGUGGCAAGCGUUGUCCGGAUUUAUUGGGCGUAAAGGGAACGCAGGCGGUUUUUUAAGUCUGAUGUGAAAGCCUUCGGCUCAACCGAAGAAUUGCAUUGGAAACUGGAAGACUUGAGUGCAGAAGAGGAGAGUGGAACUCCAUGUGUAGCGGUGGAAUGCGUAGAUAUAUGGAAGAACACCAGUGGCGAAAGCGGCUCUCUGGUCUGUAACUGACGCUGAGGUUCGAAAGCGUGGGUAGCAAACAGGAUUAGAUACCCUG